rnacentral:tRNA from 1 species
GUGGCAAUGACUCAGUGGUUAAGAGCACUGGCUGCUCUUCCAGAGGACCUGGGUUCAAUUCCCAGCACCCACA